AAGUUAAAGAUUGAGGGUUCAACCCCCUCCCUAGUGA
rnacentral:tRNA from 1 species